rnacentral:tRNA from 1 species
GCCAGGAUGGCCGAGCGGUUAAGGCGUUGGUCUCAAGAUCCAAUGGACAUUUGUCCGCGUGGGUUCGAAUCCCACUUCUGGUA